AGCGCAGACGGUUAUUUAAGCAAGAUGUGAAAGCCCCGGGCUCAACCUGGGAACUGCGUUUUGAACUGGGUAACUAGAGUGUGUCAGAGGGGGGUAGGAAUUCCACGUGUAGCAGUGAAAUGCGUAGAGAUGUGGAGGAAUACCGAUGGCGAAGGCAGCCCCCUGGGAUAACACUGACGUUCAUGCUCGAAAGCGUAGGGUAGCAAACA
rnacentral:rRNA from 1 species